rnacentral:rRNA from 1 species
UACAGGGGGGGCAAGCGUUGUUCGGAAUUACUGGGCGUAAAGGGCCAGUAGGCGGCCAACUAAGUCACACGUGAAAUCCCCAGGCUUAACUCGGGAACUGCGUGUGAUACUGGAUGGCUUGAAUUCGGGAGAGGGAUGCAGAAUUCCAGGUGUAGCGGUGAAAUGCGUAGAUAUCUGGAGGAAUACCGGUGGCGAAGGCGGCUCUCUGGGACGGUACUGACGCUGAGACGCGAAAGCGUGGGGAGCGAACAGG